UACGGAGGGUGCAAGCGUUAUUCGGAUUUAUUGGGCGUAAAGGGCGCGUAGGCGGUCUCUUAAGUCAGAUGUGAAAGCCCGAGGCUUAACCUCGGAAGUGCAUUUGAAACUGAGGGACUUGAGUAUGGGAGAGGGAAGUGGAAUUCCUGGUGUAGCGGUGAAAUGCGUAGAUAUCAGGAGGAACACCGGUGGCGAAGGCGACUUCCUGGACCAAUACUGACGCUGAGGCGCGAAGGCGUGGGGAGCAAACAGGAUUAGAUACCCGCGUA
rnacentral:rRNA from 1 species